GGCAAGGUAGAUCCCUGCCCUUAAGAAACUUACGCUCUGUAGAGACUCAGUGAUACACAUUUGAAGUUGGGAAAUAAUUACAAGGAAAUAAUUACAACUCACAAAUCCUCUCCCUUUGAGGAAAAGAUCAAAAGGACCGUGGUACAGUGAAUCAUUGUCUUUUUGCCUGUUAGGAUUGCCCAAGUGCUCUGGGAAAGCAUUUGGGCUGGAGGUGACCAGGAGCCAGGACUGGAUCUUAGAGGAGGCUCUUCACUUUCCCACUCCCUGCCCUGGAUCUGUUUCCUCCCCAGGAGCCUGGGAAUGACAGUGUUGGCUCUCUGACUCACCAGGACGUCAUAAAGAUGGACGUUGACGUUGUACCGGUCACGUAUGAGGAAGCAGCACUUUGAAGUUCCCUUGGGCCACUGCUAUGCUCCCAAGCCCUCAGCCUCUGGGAUACUUGGCCUUGGAACUCAGUCUCCAUAUCGUGAGGAAGCCCAGCCACAUGAAGAGGUGUCAUGACUCUGUUCUGACCAAGAGUGCCAGCUGCAACAAGCCCCAGGCAUGUGAGUAAAAGUGGCUUCAGAUCCAGCCUUUGAACCACUUUGUCUGAUACCAAGUAGA